rnacentral:rRNA from 1 species
CGUUGAGGCGGUUCUGUAAGUUGGACGUGAAAGCCCCUGGCCUAACUGGGGGAGGCCGUUCAAUACUGCAGGACUUGAGGGCAGCAGAGGGAGGUGGAAUUCCCGGUGUAGUGGUGAAAUGCGUAGAUAUCGGGAGGAACACCAGUGGCGAAGGCGGCCUCCUGGGCUGCUCCUGACGCUGAAGGCGAAAGCUAGGGGAGCGAACG